rnacentral:rRNA from 1 species
CCUACACAUGCAAGUCGAACGCAGUAGCAAUACUGAGUGGCAAACGGGUGAGUAUAAUGUGGGAAUCUGCCUUUUGGUUUGGAAUAACACGGGGAAACUUGUGCUAAUACCGAAUAAGCCUUUACAGGGAAAGUUUUAAUGCCAAAAGAUGAGCCCGCACUUGAUUAGCUAGUUGGUAAGGUAAAAGCUUACCAAGGCAACGAUCAAUAGCUGUUCUUAGAGGAAGACCAGCCACAUUGGGACUGAGACACGGCCCAGACUCCUACGGGAGGCAGCAGUGGGGAAUCUUGCACAAUGGGGGAAACCCUGAUGCAGCGAUGCCGCGUGAGUGAAGAAGGCCCUUGGGUUGUAAAACUCUUUCGUCGGGGAAGAAAAUGACUGUACCCGAAUAAGAAGGUCCGGCUAACUUCGUGCCAGCAGCCGCGGUAAUACGAAGGGACCUAGCGUAGUUCGGAAUUACUGGGCUUAAAGAGCUCGUAGGUGGUUAAAAAAGUUGAUGGUGAAAUCCCAAGGCUCAACCUUGGAACUGCCAUCAAAACUUUUUAGCUAGAGUGUGAUAGAGGUAAGUGGAAUUUCUAGUGUAGAGGUGAAAUUCGUAGAUAUUAGAAAGAACACCAAAUGCGAAGGCAACUUACUGGGUCAUCACUGACACUGAGGAGCGAAAGCAUGGGUAGCGAAGAGGAUUAGAUACCCUCGUAGUCCAUGCCGUAAACGAUGUGUGCUAGACGUUGGAAAUAUAUUUUUCAGUGUCGCAGCGAAAGCAUUAAGCACACCGCCUGGGGAGUACGACCGCAAGGUUAAAACUCAAAUGAAUUGACGGGGACCCGCACAAGCAGUGGAGCAUGUGGUUUAAUUCGAAGAUACGCGCAGAACCUUACCAACGCUUGACAUGUUCGUCGCGAGACU